CCUACGGGGGGCAGCAGUGGGGAAUAUUGGGCAAUGGGCGCAAGCCUGACCCCGCAACGCCGCGUGAAGGAAGAAGGCUUUCGGGUUCUAAACUUCUUUUUACAGGGAAGAGUAGAAGACGGUACCUGUCCAAUAAGCCACGGCUAACUACGGGCCAUCAGCCGCGGUAAUACGUAGGGGGCAAGCGUUGUCCGGAUUUACUGGGUUUAAAGGGCGUGUAGCGGGGUUUACAAGUACGAUGUGAAAUCCUGCGGCUUAACCGCAGAACUGCAUUUGAAACUGUUGAUCUUGAGUACUGGAGAGGCAGGCGGAAUGCCUAGUGUAGCGGUGAAAUGCGUAGAUAUUAGGAGGAACACCAGUGGCGAAGGCGGUCUGCUGGACAGCAACUGACGGUGAGGCGCGAAAGCGUGGGGAGCAAACAGGAUUAGAUACCCUUGUAGUC
rnacentral:rRNA from 1 species